GAUGUCUGGAUAACUGUGGCAAUUCUAGAGCUAAUACAUGCAAUCAAGCUCCAACCUUCGUGGGACGAGCGCUCUUAUUAGACCAAGGCCAACCUGCUGGGCAACUGGCAGUUAGCUGUGGUGACUCUGGAUAAACACAGUUGAUCGCACGACUUUACGUCGGCGACGUAUCUUUCAAGCGUAUGCCCUAUCAGCUGUCGACGGUAGGGUAGCGGCCUACCGUGGCAUCAACGGGUAACGGGGGAUCAGGGUCCGAUCCCGGAGAGUAAGCCUGAGAGACGGCUUACACAUCUAAGGAAGGCAGCAGGCGCGCAAAUUACCCAAUGGGGAAACCCUGAGGUAGUGACAAGAAAUAACAAUACGCGACUCUUUCGAGGCCGCGUAAUUGGAAUGAGCACAGUC
rnacentral:rRNA from 1 species